GCGAGCGAGCGAAGGGAAAAAGGGAAAACGAGCCCGCGUAGCCCGUGUCCCGCCUUAGUCGCCUCCUCCCUCCCCCUCCUCCCACCUCAAGAACCCUAGCCGCCGACUCCGACUCCUCCUUCCACCUCAGCCGCCCCCCGCGCGCAUCCGUCCGCCCCGGAUGCGGAGGCGAGCUUCCCGGCGACGGCAGCGGCGCUGGAUUCGAUCUGCAGGCAUCUGCUCCAUCCCGUUCUUCUCCAGCCGAACAGGGGCCGUUCUUCUCCAGCCGAACAGGGGCGAGUCCGCGGGGCGCCGCCGGAUGGGGAAGGAAAUGGAGCCCAGGGAGAGGGUCACCAGGAGGGAGCGCCGCCGGCUCGUUGUCGUUCACACCGUGCUGGAGUAGAGAUGCCUCUCUGCAACCCUCACGCCCGCAGCUGUUGGUUGCAGGGCCAUUGCGAGGAGCAGAAGGUAGAGGUCGCGAGCUGGCCGGAGCAGCAGGGGAAAGGAUCCGGCGGCCUCUGCCUCCCCGUUGCACACUCUUCCUGCUUUAUUUUCAGUUUUUACAUGUUUUUUUUAUCACUUGUGUCAGGGAGGUGAGAGGUUGGGCAUUUUAGCAAUGGCAGCCAUGGUUUCAGCGAAGGAUGCCCAUGCCUUAUGGCUAUGACAACAGCAUCAUCACAAGGAUAGACCAUAGCACGACACAGGUGCAUCUCAGCUCCUUAUUGCUGAGUAUCAUAUCAUCUCGAGUUCUUGAUGCCUUUGUUUAUGUUAUUUAAUCUUGAGAAUUUUUGUGCCUUAGUGUGUGUUCUGCUCUAGGUUGUGAAAGCCGAGUGGUUGAUGCACUGCUUCUUUGUACAACUUGUGUAAAUGUUUUAUUUGACAUAUAUCCCAUUAAGCAAAUAAAAGUUAGUUUAGAUGUAGUGAAAAACAGAAGUUUAGUUGCCGCCUCAGCUCCUUAUUGGUGACUGGUGAGCAUUGUCUCAGUUUUUUAAUGUCACUGGUUAUCAUAUUUAGUCUUGAGAAUUAUUGUGUGUGUGUUCUUCUGUUGGCUGUGCAAGACAAGUGGUUGAUGCAUUUUACCAAAGAAACUGAACGGUUCGUGUUUCCCCUCUCUUUCUCCUACAGAUACCUGAUACCUCUACUUGUUCUAGGAUUUUUGAAGUUAAUUGGUCAUGUGUGCCGAAUUGAUAAGAUCAACUAAAAAAGGCGGUUAUUUACUUAUUUCUAUGCCUAUAAGUUCUUUUGUUGGUAGAAGAAUUUGUAGGGAAGGAAGAAAGACAAAUUAUGUGAGUGCUAAGUUUGGAUUUGCAGCGAGCAAAUGGAGCAUGCCAAUGCAUACUAUAGCAACCACAUACAUCAGUUUGCUGUUGGAUUUUGAAUUACUUUAGAGUUACCGAAUAACCAAACAGUAAAACAUGCAAGAAACGCUUCUAUUUGUUUUGAUCCUACAGGAGCCUCUGUAGCCUGCUCCUGAGCCCAAAUCCCAUGACCAUGCCCCCACAUCCUGGUCGUCAAAUGAAGGAGUCUGCUUGCUAAAAAGUGUGUUUUCUUAAUCAGCAUAUAUGGCCUCUUCGCACAUGUCCUUUCUUCGUAUUUAGGAGGCCCUCAACCUUUAGUUUUCUGAUAGAUAUGAAAUUUUAAUUUGAUAGUCCCAACGACAGUGGGUGCCCAUGGAAUUAUCUAUUAUUUAUUGUCAAUCUGACAUACUUUUAUCACCAUCUAUCAUGUUUUAAGCUUUAUUAAUGGAUGAUUUGUGCCAUAUUUUUUUGUUCUUCAUUUUCAUGUGGAAGUAUUUGAUAUAUAUUGGGUAUGGAUGAUUUACUCGUAGAAUGUCCCAGAAUUUGUGAAUCUCAGUGUACAAGAAUCAACACGGAUGCUGAAACAUUGAUUUUUGCUGAAGGUAAUUAUUUUUAACCCGUUCCCAAGCAGUUUCCUCAUGUUUGCUUCUAAAACGUUACUUACCAAGGCUUAUGUGAUUCAUGGAGUUUACUUGCAAGGAUAACAUUAUCAGUUUAACUUUUGUAAAGAAGCAGACAAGCAGUGCACUCGCCCAACAUUAAAACAAUGAGACAUGUCAUAAUUUCGAAAAUGGUUCCAUAAUGGGCAUUCUUUUCUUUUACUUAUUUUUCAGCGACAAAGAUUUAAUUGUAGUAACAUGUGUUUAUGCUCUACAGUCCGGCGCCUAACCAGGCCUGCAGUUCUUUUGGUUUUCUUUCUUGAUCUGUUGUUUCCUUUGGUGAUGCUUAUUCUUCAUAUAAACAGGCCCACAGUUCAAAUGAUUAGAAAUGUUUCUUUUGUUGUAGCAGUUCUUUUUUCAUCGUCAAGUUUCUUUAGUUAGUCUCCUUUGUGGUUAUUUUUCCUUUACAAUGUGCUACUUGCUUCUUGCCAAUGGACCUCCCAUUGCUCGUGUCCUAUCAGUAGCACCAUGCUUCCCUAUCGCCCUAUUUAUCAGAAGCUCGGUACAACCGGUAGCGAGGCGCCUCCCCAUCAUAUUUUUCAUCAAAAGCUUUCUUUCUGUGUGACGCCUUUGAUGUUUCUUUCCUCUGGCCUACCCAAGAGGAAGUGUAUGAACUUCUCUUUCACUUCUAGGUUCUUCUGGUUUACCCAGGUGCCAUUCGGGGAUGGCCAAUACUAAUCUAUUAUUAUGGUAUUGCCUCUGCAUUUUUUAGAUAAUGAUUUCUUACUGGUUGUCAUAAUUCACUACAUAUGGUCCGACAUCCUCGACAGAAAUAACCCAAUUUUGUUAUACGCUUGAUGUCACAUGUCCAGGAAUAAACAAAAGGCCGCUUCCAUUUCUUAAAACAAUCUUCAGGAAUACACUGUACAAUUAGUAGCAUCAGCGGCAGUGUCACUUUCAUCUGACAAAAUGCCCAAAGACGCCACCACAGAAGGAUGGUCAUCAGGAGCCUGAAAUUGUAGCUGGGCCUCAACCGGUCAGACAUGGAGCUCCAGCAAGCAUGUGUGCCUACCCUCCUUGCCCAUGAGUUCCUGCAACAACAGCAGAUCGUGUGUGUGUGGGGUACCAGCCAGAUAAAUACUACACAAAUCAUGUUCAUGGCCUAGCAGGCGAUAACGGCACCACGAGGAUUCGCUUCCGUGAGGAGGACCCCACCCGUAUGAUGGCCACCGGAAGGUCACACACUUCUUUGGCUCGCUCAGACCGGCUCCAUUGACGGCUUUUCUAAGGUAUCUUCUUGUGCAGCUUCACACUUGCUUGUGUGUCUUGCAAAAAAGUAAGCUACUUGGUACCUCUCUACUCUGCUUUAGCAGGCGUUUGCAGAGGAAGCCAAGGGAUACAUGAUGCAGGUGUAUUUUUUGGGUCCUCUUGGCGUGUUGAACAAAAAUUGGCGUUCAGCACUACUAUUUAAAGAUGGUUUGAUCAGUACUAGGGAAAACCCAUAGAUGGAAGGAAAUUAUUGUAGGUAUCUAAGAAUGUUGAUGAUUACACUCGGAGCAAGCCUUGUCGCGGUGCUGCAAGUGUUGCCCCCCUCCUCCCCAAGGGCAAGGUGAAGGAAGGUGCCUGUGUGGUUCUUCUGCAGCUCGCAGCGAGGAUUGUUGUGUCCAACCUGCACAAGAAUGCCGAGAAGUCCUUCUUGGAGACGUAAGCCACGGUGCAUGUUUCUGCCAUGAUUUCCUCCAGUUGGAUUUCGUGGAUUUAGGUGUUGAAAAAUUAUGGGAUGUGGAUGUAGGAUUAAGGACAUGUACCUGCACUACAACGAGAGAUCUAGGCUGCUUCUUUGUGGCUUCUAAACUUGAAAUGUUUGUUUGGAAGUUAGUUUAGUUUUUUUUGUGAAUUCACAGCUUCUCACAUGUACCAUCCUCUUAGACCUUUAGAUUUCCAAAGAAACUAAAUGAAGAUAUGAUGGUAUGGUCUCAA